AAGGAACGUUAAAGACGAUGACGUUGAUAGGCCGGGUGUGUAAGCGCAGCGAUGCGUUGAGCUAACCGGUACUAAUGAACCGUGAGGCUUAACCUU
rnacentral:rRNA from 1 species